rnacentral:rRNA from 1 species
AUACGUAGGGGGCGAGCGUUGUCCGGAAUGAUUGGGCGUAAAGGGCGCGUAGGCGGCGCGGUAAGUCUGGAGUGAAAGUCCUGCUUUCAAGGUGGGAAUUGCUUUGGAUACUGCCGCGCUUGAGUGCAGGAGAGGUUAUCGGAAUUCCUGGUGUAGCGGUGAAAUGCGUAGAGAUCGGGAGGAACACCAGUGGCGAAGGCGGGUAACUGGACUGCAACUGACGCUGAGGCGCGAAAGUGUGGGGAGCAAACAGGAUUAGAUACCCUGGUAGUCCACACUGUAAACGAUGAAUGCUAGGUGUAAGAGGUAUCGACCCCUUUUGUGCCGGAGUCAACACAAUAAGCAUUCCGCCUGGGGAGUACGGCCGCAAGGUUGAAACUCAAAGGAAUUGACGGGG